UCGCUAAUCAUGUAUGCGUGUCCUUACGCACAGCGUGCGUAAGAAAAGCAAAUCGCACAGUUAGGGAUUUUUCGAUUUAUUCAGUUUAGGUUGGUAGUGAAAAUGACAAGACGGACAGGCAAAUACAAAAUUGUGAAGCACUGUCAGCGUUACUGUUAAUAAAAGAGGCAUAAUCAAAGAAUUUUAAAAGAAGAAAACGAACAAGUCUAAAAUGUCUAGCGAUAGUGAUGAAUUAAUGUGCACGCCGCCGGAGAUAAUUGAAAAGAUAUGAAAUCGUCUACCAAAAAUUUAUGGAAUGGAAAAUAA